GGGAUCCGCCAUUUUGAAUUGCUUUGAUUAACCAAUGUUCGAUAACUACAAUAUUAUCGAAAAUAAAACAACACCUACCUCAAAAUCGCCGUUUUGAUGUAAUUUUAUCAAAAUUUGAAUCGUACAAGUAACGUUAUGACCUUCAGUUUGUUAGUUUUCAUUUAUAUGACGUCACGUUAAGCCGUAACGUCUUUGUGCAAAAACCAUUCAUAAAGUUUCGCGGAAUUUUAUUUUAUUUCAUUUCAUAAAUGUACAUUUUCAUGCCCCCGCCGUAGCAAGGGGGUAUUGAGUUUUAUCCUUGUCUGUUUGUACGUCCAUCCGAAUGUACGUCCGUUUUUACAAAAUUGGUUUCCGUUCUCUAACUUUAGUUUGCCUCAACCAACUGAUAUAUAAAACUUAUGCAUAAUGCUUUUUACCACAAAAACACAGAAUAAAUUUGAAUUUUGAUGUCGUCACUUUUACACAGUUCUAGAUUUAUGAGGGGUCGGACAGGGUACACAUUUCUCCUUUCUCCCGUCCCUUUUCUCUUGUCACCCGCCGUAAAACCUUUAAAAAAAACUAAUGUUUGGGAAGCUCAUUUCAACAGAAAUCGAUCUAAUAUCUUGUGUUUUGAUGGCUUGUCCCCGUCCUGUCCUUUCACAAGAUAGAAGUGUUGUUUAUUCUGCUUCAAGAACCCCGAUAAUUUGUUAACCGACUGUUAUGCUGUCUCUUUCAUUGAAUUUGUAAGUCUGAUGCACGCCGUUUCCGAUUUUUUAUUAAGUAUAAAUACAAAUUAUAGAAACGCAGGAUUGAGUGAAAAACGGGCCGGCACAUUUUUUGUGACACUUUUAGUCAAUUUCGUUUAAAAUGGUUGGAAUUUACAUAAUGCGCCACUGAUGUGUUUUACUUAUAGAGGAUGCAUAUAUAUAUUCUCAGAUAUUUUUAUUGCAUAAUUUUUACGAAUGACAGAAUGUUGACUUGGUCUUUCAAAUGUACAGUUUGCAAGGUUUAUCCGUAAAUACCCACACG
rnacentral:lncRNA from 1 species